rnacentral:rRNA from 1 species
UACGAACUGUGCGAGCGUUAUUCGGAAUCACUGGGCUUACAGGGUGCGUAGGCGGCUUUGCAAGUCAGGUGUGAAAGCCCCCGGCUCAACCGGGGAAUUGCGCUUGAAACUGCAGGGCUCGAGUCAGCUAGAGGUGCACGGAACUUCCAGUGGAGCGGUGAAAUGUGUUGAUAUUGGAAGGAACACCGGAGGCGAAAGCGGUGCACUGGGGCUGGUCUGACGCUGAGGCACGAAAGCCAGGGGAGCGAACGGG